UACUAUGGCCAUGCUACCCUGAACAAGCCCGGUCUCGUCUGAUCUCAGAAGCUAAGCAGGGUCGGGCCUGGUUAGUACUUGGAUGGGAGACCACCUAGGAGGACCAGGUGCUGUAGGUG
rnacentral:rRNA from 1 species